UACGAAGGGGGCUAGCGUUGCUCGGAAUCACUGGGCGUAAAGGGCGCGUAGGCGGAUCUUUAAGUCGGGGGUGAAAGCCCAGGGCUCAACCCUGGAAUUGCCUUCGAUACUGGAGAUCUUGAGACCGGAAGAGGUAAGUGGAACUGCGAGUGUAGAGGUGAAAUUCGUAGAUAUUCGCAAGAACACCAGUGGCGAAGGCGGCUUACUGGUCAGGUUCUGACGCUGAGGCGCGAAAGCGUGGGGAGCAAACAGG
rnacentral:rRNA from 1 species